rnacentral:rRNA from 1 species
AGCAGCCGCGGUAAUUCCAGCUCCAAUAGCGUAUAUUAAAGUUGUUGCAGUUAAAAAGCUCGUAGUUGAAUUUCGGGACCAAUAUGUCGGUCGUGCUUCGGUACGUACUUGCAUUAUUGGUUUCUCCCUUCUGAGGAACCAUGAUGUCAUUAAUUUGGUGUCGUGGGAAAUCAGGACUGUUACUUUGAAAAAUUAGAGUGUUUAAAGCAGGCUCGCGCUUGAAUACAUUAGCAUGGAAUAAUGAAAUAGGACGUUUGAUUCUAUUUUGUUGGUUUCUAGGAUCGACGUAAUGAUUAAUAGGGAUAGUUGGGGGCAUUAGUAUUCAAUUGUCAGAGGUGAAAUUCUUGGACUUAUUGAAGACUAACUACUGCGAAAGCAUUUGCCAAGGAUGUUUUCAUUAAUACAAGACGAAAGUUAGGGGAUCGAAGACGAUCAGAUACCGUCGUAGUCUUAACCAUAAACUNUAGCCGACUAGGGAUCGGAUGAUGUUAAUUUUAAUGACUCAUUCGGCG